UUCCGGUUGAUCCUGCCGGACCCUACUGCUAUCGGGGGAGGACUAAAACAUGCAAGUCGUGCGUCUCCUAGCUAUGUUGGAGACGCGGCGUAUGGCUCAGUAACACGUGGCUAACCCACCCUUGAGACGGAGAAAUCCCCGGGAAACUGGGGUUAAUCCCCGAUAGGAGAAGACACCUGGAAGGGGUCUUUUCUCAAAAGGCGCUUAGAUCAUGCUUCUAGACGUCGCUCAAGGACGGGGCCGCGGCCGAUCAGGUUGUUGGUGAGGUAAUGGCUCACCAAGCCUAUAACCGGUACGGGCCGUGAGAGCGGGAGCCCGGAGAUGGGCACUUAGACAAGGGCCCAGGCCCUACGGGGCGCAGCAGUUGCGAAAACUCCGCAAUGCACGAAAGUGUGACGGGGCUACCCCGAGUGCCGUCCGCUGAGGGCGGCUUUUCCCCGGUGUAAGGAGCCGGGGGAAUAAGGAGAGGGCAAGUCUGGUGUCAGCCGCCGCGGUAAUACCAGCUCUCCGAGUGGUAGGGAUGAUUAUUGGGCUUAAAGCGUCCGUAGCCGGCCUAGCAAGUCCUCCGUUAAAUCCACCGAUUCAAUCGUUGGACUGCGGGAGAUACUGUUGGGCUAGGGGGCGGGAGAGGCCGACGGUAUUCUCGGGGUAGGGGUAAAAUCCUAUAAUCCCGGGAGGACCACCAGUGGCGAAGGCGGUCGGCUAGAACGCGCUCGACGGUGAGGGACGAAAGCUGGGGGAGCGAACCGGAUUAGAUACCCGGGUAGUCCCAGCUGUAAACGAUGCGGGCUAGGUGUUGGGGCGGCUACGGGCCGCUUCAGUGCCGCAGGGAAACCAUUAAGUCCGCCGCCUGGGGAGUACGGCCCGCAGGCUGAACUUAAAGGGAAUUGGCCGGGGGAGCAUCAACAAGGCGUGAAGCUUGCCGGUUUAAUUGGAGUCACGCCUGA
rnacentral:rRNA from 1 species